rnacentral:lncRNA from 1 species
GAGUUUAAAAUUUGCUUCCCAACCCUGCCCUGGCGGAAAACCAGAAAACUUGCUCAGUUCUUGCAGCUUAAAAAAAGAAAAUACACGAACUGGGUGAACUGGUUUGAAUAAAGACAGGCCUGUUCUUGGAAGAUUGGGGUUGGAUUUUUUUUUUUUUUUUUUGGCCUUUGAUACUUGUAAAAGUGAGCAAAGAUGGGAACCGCAUUUACUACGUUAAGAGAUGGACUAGGAGCCUGUCCCUACACAAAAGAAAUGCCUCACCUCAGCCCACACUAACAACAACCUCAGCACACCCUAAUGGCUUCCCUACCUGUUGCUGCCAUCUCAGGUGGGUUGGGUAGGAUAAAUAUGGUAAAGUGACCCGCAUGACACCCCUGUCUGAGCAGGCUCCUGAACUCUCUCCUACUCUCAAGCCACCUUCCA